GUGAGGUGUAGUCGCGGCAACCAGGAGGUGGGCGUGUGGUAACGCGGCGCGCGGGAGGGUGGCUUGAAAGGGUCUUUAUGAACCCUAGGGAAAGGCCGUCUGGUAGGAACUCCAUUUCAAGACCUUUUAAAGUGAGACCUGCAUAUGUUGAAAGAGUUUCAGAGAGUGAAGCUGGGUUCUUAGAAGCUGGAAUGUCCCAGCAGAAUGUAGAAAUGCGAAAAAUUCGGCACAGUAGUCUAAAGUGAGUCGAGUUUACAGUCGGUUUAUUCAACGAAUGCCUGUGGAGCAGUUUCGAGCAGGUGCACCCACCACUAGAAUUUGAACAUCCUAAGAACAGGUAUUUUUGUCUCUGCUUUGCUGAUGUAUCCUCAGCAACCGGAACUGCCUGACAUCUGAUCCUUUCUGUGAGACACCAGGCUGUUGAGGAAGAAUCUAUGGCAACAUUGUAUCUAUUAAUAUACAGCUUCUGUAUUUAUCAGGCCCAGUUCUGGUGAUGAUUUCACUUUUGACAGAAGCUGUCCCUCAAAAGCAAACAUGCAAUAGAAGAAACAGAUCUCAGUAAGUAGCUUAUUUUCCUUACAAACACUACUGAAAUUUCUUAUUAAUGCUCCUAAUUUUCCCAUUAUGCACUGCAGCGUGAGUAUGGCUCCAGAGGCUGCACCUAAUAACUUCCUUGAGCUCUAAUGAUUAUUGGUAUCUUUUACUAAUGUGUAUCUGUUCUAAACUACACAAAAGCAUACAAAGCCAUCUCCCUCUUUUAAAAACUUGAAAAUGUGGGUAUCACCUUUAAUUAAAUAUUUUAAAUUUCUCUCUCCAAAUCAGAUUUAUCUAUGUGUGGGAGUUUAGAUAGUCCCAAGACUUUUGCUAAGACAGUAUUUCCAAUUUAAUCUUAAGUAGAAAAAUGUAUGUAAUUAAGAGAUUUAUUAUAAAACAUUUGGCAAAGAAGGAAAGAAAACAGUAACUAUGUAGGUAGUUUUUAUUAGAU
rnacentral:lncRNA from 10 species